rnacentral:rRNA from 1 species
GGUUCAUUCUGGCUCAGAUUGAACGCUGGCGGGAUGCUUUACACAUGCAAGUCCGAACGCGGCAGCACGGACUUCGGUCUGGUGGCGAGUGGCGAACAGGUGAGUAAUGUAUCAGGAACGUGCCCUAGUAGCCAGGGGAUAACUACGCGAAAGCGUAGCUAAUACCGCAUACGCCCUUCGGGGAAAGCGGGGGCCUUCGGGCCUCGCGCUAUUAGAGCGGCCGUUAUCGGAUUAGCCUGACUGGUGGAGCAACUUGGCUCACCAGAAGCGACGAUCCGUAGCUGGUUUGAAGGACGACCAGCCACACUGGGACUGAGACCUGCAGCCUUUGAACUCCUACGGAGGCAACAGUGAAAUUUUGGACAAUGGGGAAACCUGAUCCAGCCAUCCCGCGUGUGCGAUGGUGGCCUUCAGGGUUAUAGCACUUUUGGCAGAAAAACGGCACGGGAUAAUACCCCGUGCAACUGACGGCUUACCUGCAGAAUAAGCACCGGCUAACUACGUGCCAGCAGCCGCGGUAAUGCGUAGAGGUGCAGCGUUGAUCGGAAUUACUGGGCGUAAAGCGUGCGCGAGCGGUUCGGAAGAAAGAUGGCGAAAUCCCAGAGCUUAACUUUGGAACAUGCAUUUUUAACUACCGAAGCUGGUAGUGUGUGUCGGAGGAGAUUGGAAUUCCGUGCUAGCGAUGAAAUGCGUAAGAUAUGCGGAGGAACACCGAUGGCGAAGGCAGCCUCCUGGGAUAACACUGACGCCCAUGCACGAAAGCGUGGGGAGCAAACAGGAUUAGAUGCACAAUGGUCACGCCUAAACGAUGUCAACUAGCUGUUGGAGCGCUUUACGGGCCUUGGUAGUACAGCUAACGCGUGAAGUUGACCGCCUGCCGGAGAUACGGUCGCAAGAUUAAAACUCAAAGGAAUUGACGGGGACCCGCACAAGCGGUGGAUGAUGGAUUAAUUCGAUGCAACGCGAAAAGCCUUACCUACCCUUUGACAAUGCUGGAAUCCCGAAGAGAUUUGGGUGCUCGCAAGAGAACCGGAACACAGGUGCUGCAUGGCUGUCGUCGGCUACUCGUGUCGUGAGAUGUUGGGUUAAGUCCCGCAACGAGCGCAGCCCUUUGUCGUUAGUUGCUACGAACUCCGUGAGACUGCCGGUGACAAACCGGAGGAAGGUGGGGACGUCAGCGUCCUCAUGGCCCUUAUGGGUGGGGAUUCACACGUCAUACAAUGGUCGGGACGGGGGUCGCCAACCCGCGAGGGGAGCCAAUCCCAGAAACCCGAUCGCUGAUCCGGAUCGCGAUCUGCAACUCGACUGCGUGAAGUCAGAAUCGCUAGUAAUCGCGGAUCAGCAUGUCGCGGUGAAUACGUUCCCAGGUCUUGUACACACCGCCCGUCACACCAUGGGAGUGGGUUUUUGCAGAAGUAGUUAGCCUAACCGUAAGGGAGGGCGAUGCACGGUAGGAUUCGUGACACAGGGUGAAGUCGUAACAAGGUAG